rnacentral:ribozyme from 1 species
UUUUAGUGCUGAUACAUUCUUCUCUUCUUUUAUUUCAUUAGUAGAAAAGCAGCAAAGAAAGGAACAAGGGAAGUAAAAAAGAGGAGAAGGGAAAAGAAAAAUGAAGAGAAAGAGUACACUUACAUAUUUACAAUAUAAAAAAUAUACAAAUACACAGAAAUAAC